CGGCGAUUGGCCAGAAGAGGGGCUAAACCUCCGCUCGUGCCACCCACAGGAAGGGGGAGAACAGCGGUAACUCACACACUGCUCCUCUAGGUUGGCCGUAGUGGCCUAACACUUGGUGCAGUCAGAGAACAUGCGCCAUCGGCCAUGUUUGCCCACUUGUGGCAAGCAAAACCGGUAACAAAAAGAGCCGACUGGCUGCAAGGCAAAUUGUCCUUUCGGCAAUUGAUUCAAGAAUCCCGGCGUCCGGCAGGAGGCAUUCCACCGGCGAUCCGCGGGGUCCGCGAAAUAGCGCGGGGCUGCCCGGACCCGAGCGUGCCGGGAAGCCCCGCUCCCGCUUGUUCCCCUUUAUAUAUACGGCAGCUGUCCCCGACGCCAUGUUCCGGUUUUGACGCAACCGUGAUAGCAGCAACAGCGGCAGCCCCAGGAGGAGGAGGAGGAGGAGGAAGUGCAAAGAGAGGAAGGAGGCAGUCCACCAGCUCUCUCGGAGGAGAAGGGUGCUGACAAGCGGAGCAACAGAUGGCUAAGAACUAACACAUUAUGUUCAAGACUGUGAUGGCUCAGCUUCCUACAGCCAUAAAUGGAGGCCCAAACAUGUGGGCCAUCACUUCUGAAGAAAGAAAGAAGUAUGAUAAACAGUUUGACAGCCUUAAGCCAGUUGGGGGAUAUAUUACAGGUUAGUGUGGUAUUCUAUAUGAUUGGGAGAUUUAGUUCAUUGAAUUGCUAUUUGGUUAAAAAUAUUUAUUGAAAAAGAAAUUAUUGCACCUGUCAAUACCAAAAAAUUGUUAUUGGCUGUAAGUCUCAUAUAGAAUUGUAGCUGGCUUAACUUUUUAGAAGGUAAGGUACAUUUGUCUGUGUUUAUUUAAUGAUUGUACCACAGUUUAUAAGAUAAUAAUAUACAACAUAAAUAAUGCUUUUGAAAUCAUGUGGUACCAUGAGCUGACCUAAUUUUAUAUAAAAAGAAAUUAGCAUUAGUGGAUCUCCUUCCAGGUGGCACCACCUAGCCAGCCUUGCUUGAUCUCAGAAAAGCUAAAGAUGUUUAUUAUUUGGAUGGGAAGCCACCAAGGAAUCCCAGGGCUGUAGCUGGGCUAGGAAAUUAAGGGAGAACGAUUCUCAGAAGAAGGCAGUG